UACGAAGGGGGGCUAGCGUUGCUCGGAAUUACUGGGCGUAAAGGGUGCGUAGGCGGGUCUUUAAGUCAGGGGUGAAAUCCUGGAGCUCAACUCCAGAACUGCCUUUGAUACUGAAGAUCUUGAGUUCGGGAGAGGUGAGUGGAACUGCGAGUGUAGAGGUGAAAUUCGUAGAUAUUCGCAAGAACACCAGUGGCGAAGGCGGCUCACUGGCCCGAUACUGACGCUGAGGCACGAAAGCGUGGGGAGCAAACAGG
rnacentral:rRNA from 1 species